CACUCGAGACAAAACUGGUUUUCACAAUGAUCGUCCAGAUAGUGUUUCAUUUCUGAGAUCAUUGUGAAAGCUGAUUUUGUUGACCGUUUCG
rnacentral:pre_miRNA from 1 species